AUUGAACGCUGGCGGCAGGCCUAACACAUGCAAGUCGAGCGGAUGAAGGGAGCUUGCUCCUGGAUUCAGCGGCGGACGGGUGAGUAUGCCUAGGAAUCUUCCUGGUAGUGGGGGAUAACGUCCGGAAACGGGCGCUAAUACCGCAUACGUCCUGAGGGAGAAAGUGGGGGAUCUUCGGACCCCACGCUAUCAGGUGAGCCUAGGUCGGAUUAGCUAGUUGGUGGGGUAAAGGCCUACCAAGGCGACGAUCCGUAACUGGUCUGAGAGGAUGAUCAGUCACACUGGAACUGAGACACGGUCCAGACUCCUACGGGAGGCAGCAGUGGGGAAUAUUGGACAAUGGGCGAAAGCCUGAUCCAGCCAUGCCGCGUGUGUGAAGAAGGUCUUCGGAUUGUAAAGCACUUUAAGUUGGGAGGAAGGGCAGUAAGUUAAUACCUUGCUGUUUUGACGUUACCAACAGAAUAAGCACCGGCUAACUUCGUG
rnacentral:rRNA from 1 species